rnacentral:rRNA from 1 species
GCAAGGAAUUUUCGUCAAUGGGCGAAAGCCUGAACGAGCAACGCCGCGUGCAGGAAGACGGCCUUCGGGUUGUAAACUGCUUUUGGGGGGGACGAUCAUGACGGUACCCUCCGAAUAAGCCCCGGCUAACUCUGUGCCAGCAGCCGCGGUAAUACAGAGGGGGCAAGCGUUGUCCGGAAUGACUGGGCGUAAAGCGCACGCAGGUGGCAGUGUAAGUGGUGUGUGAAAGCGGCCCGCUUAACGGGCUGAGGCCAUGCCAGACUGCACAGCUAGAGCCUUGCAGAGGUCGAUGGAAUUGCCGGUGUAGUGGUGAAAUGCGUAGAGAUCGGCAGGAACACCAAGGGGGAAACCAGUCGACUGGGCAAGCGCUGACACUCAUGUGCGAAAGCGUGGGGAGCGAACCGGAUUAGAAACCCGUGUAGUCC